rnacentral:rRNA from 1 species
UACGAAGGGGGCUAGCGUUGUCCGGAUUUAUUGGGCGUAAAGAGCGUGUAGGCGGCCAGGUAGGUCUGCUGUGAAAACUCGAGGCUCAACCUCGAGAUGUCGGCGGAAACCAUCUGGCUAGAGUCCGGAAGAGGAGAGUGGAAUUCCUGGUGUAGCGGUGAAAUGCGCAGAUAUCAGGAAGAACACCCGUGGCGAAGGCGGCUCUCUGGGACGGUACUG